rnacentral:rRNA from 1 species
UACGAAGGGGGCGAGCGUUGUUCGGAAUCACUGGGCGUAAAGGGCGCGUAGGCGGCCCUCUUAGUCGCGUGUGAAAGCCCCGGGCUCAACCUGGGAACUGCCCUCGAAACUAGAUAGCUAGAAUCUUGGAGAGGCGAGUGGAAUUCCGAGUGUAGAGGUGAAAUUCGUAGAUAUUCGGAAGAACACCAGUGGCGAAGGCGACUCGCUGGACAAGUAUUGACGCUGAGGUGCGAAAGCGUGGGGAGCAAACAGG